rnacentral:rRNA from 1 species
AUACGGAGGGUGCAAGCGUUAUCCGGAAUCAUGGGGUUUAAAGGGUCCGUAGGCGGACUAUUAAGUCAGAGGUGAAAUCCCACAGCUCAACUGUGGAACUGCCUUUGAUACUGGUAGUCUUGAGUUAUAUGGAAGUAGAUAGAAUGUGUAGUGUAGCGGUGAAAUGCAUAGAUAUUACACAGAAUACCGAUUGCGAAGGCAGUCUACUACGUAUAUACUGACGCUAAGGGACGAAAGCGUGGGGAGCGAACAGGAUUAGAAACCCGAGUAGUCC